rnacentral:rRNA from 1 species
CACUAUGCUUAGCCCUAAACUUUGAUAAUUUCAUAACAAAAUUAUUCGCCAGAGAACUACAAGCCAAAGCUUAAAACUCAAAGGACUUGGCGGUGCUUUAUACCCACCUAGAGGAGCCUGUUCCGUAAUCGAUAAACCCCGAUAAACCCUACCACUCUUUGCCAACUCAGCCUAUAUACCGCCAUCUUCAGCGAACCCUAAAAAGGAGCAAAAGUAAGCUCAAUUACCACCGUAAAAACGUUAGGUCAAGGUGUAGCCCAUAGAGUGGAGAGCAAUGGGCUACAUUUUCUACUUCAGAAUAUACGAAAGCCCUUAUGAAACUCUAAGGGCCAAAGGAGGAUUUAGUAGUAAAUUAAGAAUAGAGUGCUUAAUUGAACAAGGCCAUGAAGCACGC